rnacentral:rRNA from 1 species
AUCAAUGGCCAUACCACGCAGAAAAAAACCUGGUCUCGUCAGCUCCAAGAAGAUAAGCUGCGUCGGGUCCCGUUAGUAUACCUAGAAGGGUGACCGCUUGGGAAUACGGGAUGCUGUUGGCA